GGUUUAUAAAGUGCUGAGUGUCCCAGAGGGAGCAGGCAGUGUUUGCAGGAAGAUGAAGCCUGCCAUCUCCAGCUGGCCCAGCCAGGCAGCGGGAAAUCUAAAUGAAUUCAGGAAUGGCUUCUGCUUUCUGAGGGAGGAUGCUGCUCCCCAGCUAUGGAAACGGCUCAGCAGAACACUGAUCGACAGCAGGCACGGGGGGGGUUGUGCUCUUGUUGGUUCCUGGCUUCCUUCACCUUCCAUGGGGUCGCUCUGAAUUGGCCAUCUGGAAGCUGGGAUUGAGCCUUCUCCCGCUGAUGAAGGAGCUGCAACGGCUUGGUGCUGACCCUGCUGUCAGUCAUUUUGGACCCACCCUGCUAUCCCUUCCAGGUUGUGGGAGUUAACAGCCAGGGAGGAGGCAAUGUAGAGGAGCCUGCUGGGUGGUCUGUUCCAGUCUCCUUCCUGCAAAGGUCACUGUCCUGUGCCCACCUUGCCCUGCUCCAGCAUCCCCUGCUCACCACAGCAGUGCUUGAGUCACUCUUUUGGACUGCAGUAGCAGAUUACUGCAGGGAGCAGCUCUUUUGACUAAGCAAUUUGUCCUUCCAUUAAGAAAAGAGUUCAUGAAAAGUGCAUUUGCUUAAAGAAGUCAAGGAGGAGGAGCAGGAGGCAACUUCACCCACAGCAUGCCUGCAGAGGGGCCAAAAGAUGCCAGCCUGGGAGUCACUUAGGUUACAUCACCCCUUCAGAGAGGAGGAUUUAGCCAGAGACAUUUGAAAAGGAAGACUGAAGUAUGACAAAGUAACUGGUGAGUGAAGUGAGAUGCUGCUUUGCAAGGACCCAGGCAGAGAGAGCAGCCACCAAGCAUCAGAGAGAGCAGCCACCAAGCAGCUUCUGUGAGUUUGUGAAGGCAAAGACCUGACUUUGGGGAUGCAGCUGGGUUCUGGUCAUUAAUUCAUUGGGGUCAAGAUGCCAACCCUGUGCUCCAGUGUUAAUGAUCCACAUCUGGGGAUGAUAUGGGAGAGUGAAGAGCCACUAAGAAGACAAGUGCUUGGGAGCAUCCCAGAUAGAGGUGGUAGAGUGUGGUUGCUGGAAAUUUUAGAUACCUCCUUUCUGGAGAAACUCCAAGUAGCUCCAAAAGACCUUGUUCACACCAGGCUGCUGCUGGGAAUGCUGCCUGGGCUGCUGGCACUGUGGGGUGGCACAUGGCAAGGCUCAGUGGGCUCCUACCCAUCUAGGAGGUGUCACACUUUUAAAGUGCUUUUUUCUCUUCUGUGUCAUUGUGUUAAAUAAUUAAGUCUGCUCCAUCUUUA